CAUUUCACUCAGUUAGGAACCUUCCUAAGCAAAAAAGACUAUUCGGACGCAGCCAUAGUGUCACCAGUGAUAUCGGGUCUGAGCAAUCAUUCCACCUGGGAUGCUCAAAGGAAAGAGCAUUUCUGGAAUCCAGAAUCCUCUGAUGGAUGAACUCUUUAUACCUGACUGCAGUCUGUUUCCAGACUACUACUCGGGAUUCUUCAGCCAGUUAUCACUCAAGUUGUUACCUUUGAAAAAAAUUAAGUUGGCUCAGAAUUAAACCUUCUCUCCACCAGUCCAUCACUACCGCAUAAACAAAAAACAGGCUUGUGUGUAGAAAACAGCCUAGGUCAGUAACAUCAAAGUCUAAAAACCCACAACCUAACUGCAACUCUGAGGUAACCUGGAAUAUUUGAAUUGUCACCUCAUUUUAUAAUGUCAACAUUUUCAAAAAUGUUUACCAUGUGCUUUGAAAGAGCUCUUCACAAAUAAGAAGGUCAACAGAUAGUGCAGUGUACCUGGAGUGUACCUCUGGGGAACACUCCAGUCCCAUGCAAUAGUGAAAUAUGACGUACCGGGAGUACUUUAAAGUUUCUUGAAGUUGCCUAUGGUGUACAAGUUACACAUGACAAAAAAACUUCAAAAGCUGUAAACAUACUGAGAAGACUAUAUAUUGUAACAUAACAAUAUAUUGGUACAUAACUACCAGUUCACUUUAAUUUUCUAAUAUUAAGACAUUCAGGUAAUGAGAAUAUCUGUGUGUGGGAACACCUAUUGAUGUGCAAAUGCAGUCAACACGUACUUAGGUGGAGUGAGAUGGUGAACAUACAAAUAAGUUACAGCAUAGCAAUUCUAGUUUAAUAGACAAAGACGCAUGACUGUGGUAGGUCCAUGUGUUCUAUCUACAUGUAGUCAGUGGGACCAAUCGCAAGUUCCCGGCUGGGCUAGACUAAGAUUUCAUAUAUUUGCUGUGUUUCCACUACUUGUGUGUGGAAAUGCAGUCCAUUUACCAUUUGUGUGUAUAUAUGGCUUGGAUCUGCAGUGAUCUUUAAUAUUUGGCGUGUAAGGCUUUCACCCUUGUGUAUCCGUUCAUAGUGAUCUUAUUCCCUUUCGGGCAGGCUCCAUGUGUAUCCUCCUCUAGUGGCCAGUCACGGUUACAGUUGUGUAUGAGGAUUGGGAUAGCCAGUAGGAGGUUGUUUUUUGCUUUUUUUAACAAAUAAAUGCUAUGUAUUGUCCUCCAAUGACUGUAAUAAAAUACCCUUUAUUUU